rnacentral:rRNA from 1 species
UGAGGAAUAUUGGACAAUGGGCGAAAGCCUGAUCCAGCCAUGCCGCGUGAGUGAUGAAGGCCUUCGGGUUGUAAAGCUCUUUUAAUGGUGAAGAUAAUGACGGUAGCCAUAGAAAAAGCCCCGGCUAAAUUCGUGCCAGCAGCCGCGGUAAUACGAAUGGGGCAAGCGUUGUUCGGAAUCACUGGGCUUAAAGCGUAUGCAGGCGGCCAUGCAAGUCAGAAGUGAAAUCCCUGGGCUCAACCCAGGAAUUGCUUUUGAAACUGCACGGCUAGAAUCCCGGAGAGGUUAGCAGAAUUCCGAGUGUAGAGGUGAAAUUCGCAGAUAUUCGGAGGAAUACCAGUGGCGCAAGCGGCUAACUGGACGGGCAUUGACGCUCAGAUACGAAAGCGUGGGUAGCAAACAG